rnacentral:rRNA from 1 species
GGCCUCAAGUCGGGCAGGAGCACCCGCUGAAUUUAAGCAUAUUACUAAGCGGAGGAGAAGAAACUAACGAGGAUUCCCCUAGUAGCGGCGAGCGAAGCGGGAAUGGCCCAACUUGAAAAUCUGGGACCCCCGUCCCCGAAUUGUAGUCUAUCGAAGCGUUCUCAGCGACGGACCGAGCCUAAGUUCCCUGGAACGAGACGUCAGAGAGGGUGAGAGCCCCGUCGACCUCGGACCCUGUCGCACCACGAGGCGCUGUCCACGAGUCGGGUUGCUUGGGAGUGCAGCCCUAAUUUGGUGGUAAAUUCCAUCUAAGGCUAAAUAUGGGCGAGAGACCGAUAGCGAACAAGUACCGCGAGGGAAAGAUGAAAAGAACUUUGGAAAGAGAGUUAAAAAGUGCUUGAAAUUGUUGAGGGGUAAGCGUGCGACGGCAAGGGGUGCGGCUUGGCCAUAAGCGGAACGGGUAACUGGUCCGCCGUCGGUGCGAGCCGUUGGCCAGUGCGGGCUAUCGCCACGGGAAAAGCCUCGGCGCCGUGGCGAUGGCCGAGGAAGAAGCGCGCGCGUACGCGGGCCUUCGGGCACCUGCGCGCUCAAGGCGCUGGCGCAAGUUUCAGGAGCCCGUUGAUUAGGCC